CCUACGGGCGGCUGCAGUGAGGAAUAUUGGUCAAUGGACGCGAGUCUGAACCAGCCAAGUCGCGUGAAGGAAGACUGCCCUACGGGUUGUAAACUUCUUUUGUAAAGGAGUAAAGUGAGGUACGUGUGCCUCUCUGUAAGUACCUUAUGAAUAAGGAUCGGCUAACUCCGUGCCAGCAGCCGCGGUAAUACGGAGGAUCCGAGCGUUAUCCGGAUUUAUUGGGUUUAAAGGGUGCGUAGGCGGGUGGAUAAGUCAGUGGUGAAAGUUGGGGGCUCAACCGUAGAAUUGCAGUUGAAACUGUUCGUCUUGAGUGCAGUAGGGGUAGGCGGAAUUCGUGGUGUAGCGGUGAAAUGCUUAGAUAUCACGAAGAACUCCGAUUGCGAAGGCAGCUCACUGGACUGCAACUGACGCUGAGGCACGAAAGUGUGGGUAUCAAACAGGAUUAGAUACCCUAGUAGUC
rnacentral:rRNA from 1 species